GAUGAAGAACGCAGCGAAAUGCGAUAAGUAGUGUGAAUUGCAGAAUUCAGUGAAUCAUCGAAUCUUUGAACGCACAUUGCGCCUCCUGGUAUUCGGGGAGGCAUGCCUGUUCGAGCGUCAUUAAAAUCACUCAAGCUUAGGUUUACCUAUUGCUUGGUCUUGGAGAUGGAAGCCAAUUUAUUGGAAUCCUCUUCGAAAUUCAAUGGCGAAGACCCUUGCUCUCCCAAGUGUAGUAAUAACUUAUGUCACUGAAGGAAGCGAGAAAUCUUCUGCCGUAACCCCCAUAUUUUCUAUGAUUGACCUCGGAUCAGGUAGGGAUACCCGCUGAACUUAAGCAUAUCAAUAAGCGGAGGA
rnacentral:misc_RNA from 1 species